UCCUUGAGCCAAUGACCAUGAAACUGAAGUAACAAGUAUACCGAGAGGUGACAUUUCCCACGUAAAAUUCUUGACACAUACGCCAUGUGGGACCUGGCCCCACAUGUCAUCCACACUACAGCACCAUAUGGUACUGCAGAGGAUCUGAACCCGUUGUUGUAGAGAUGAAUGUAAGCAAACUGUCGUUUAUUUAUUUAUAAAACCUGUAUUUCACACGUCAGGACAAGAAAAAAAAUGAAAUAUGCAUCACUAUAGCUUAUUGUAAAAUCACACGAAAUAAGAAUAAUCAGCAAGACCAAAAUCAGACGGCAUAAGAACUUCUCACAUGGCCUCGUGUGCCCAUAAAAGUUUGCAAUAUAAAACUGUUUUCUACAGAUUCGUGCAACGUAAUGACUAUCAACUAGUAUAUCUCCCAUGCAUUGGUACUAUAUAACUAAAACUAGCACAUGUUGAGUGUCUCAAGAUACUUAGUCUCCAAGUCGCUUACAAACAGCUUCUUCCUUCCUUGAUUAUAGCAGAUUCACUAUUUGCCAUUUUCCUGAUAAAAUCACAAAACGUGGAUCAAGUGAGAUAAGGUCAGCUAAAAAAAUACAUGCGUAUUUGCAUAUGGUGCAACCGAUGAACCAGAAUUGCUCAUCAUGUACAUUCUACCAAAAAAACUUUCUUCCAUACCUUACAAAAAAUGCAAGGCAAAUUCAAGCAGUGACUUUCAUAAGGCAAUUACACAAGUCCAUUACACAAUAGCCCUAAAGUCGAUACACACUAGGGGAAUUCUGCAAAGAGGAGAAAACAUUAUGUUUCCAUGGAGUUCAUCAUGAUUGAUGACAAUAACUAGAGCUUAGUUAUAUGGUGCGGCCUCACGUGGAUCACUCCAAAAACAAAAACUGAACUAGAGAAUGAACCGCGCUUCAAUUGAUAUAAACCACAUCAAGAAACAACGCUAGUUGGAAACAAAUACCUUCCUUUUGACAUUGGAUAUUUGUUCCUCCAUGAGAAUGACGAAACAGUAGAAGAACAUGCCAACAAAAUUAACACCUAGCAUCCACCCAAACUACAAGCUGGAGAAAAAUUGCAAGAACCCAAACUACAAGCUUAAGAAAAUUUGCAAGAGGCUAGAUACCAAGGUCGCAGCUAUGCUUGCGUUGUGGUAGAUGCCGCAGGACGCCUAUGCACUUUCUGUUGACCAGCUCAAUACCAACAUAGAACUGCUACCUAACUAGAGGUCAACGAGGCAACACAGGACAUGUAAAAUUUAAUAUUGCUAUGCAAUUUUAUUCCACUAGUUCCAAACAAUCGAACACAUUAUAAAAUAUGCAACCCAAAAAUCCUGGUUCUGAAAUUGAUAAAUGGGUUCUUCCCCAUUACAGUUUCCAGAAACCAGUGGCUCUAACAUGAUGAUUUUGGCAGAAACUUUAGGAAAAACUUACAACAACUACUAUUGUUCUAUAGUGAAAGAUCGCAUUAAAUAUACAUGGACAUAUUGUGCGAAGGUAGAGUAAAGGGUAAUGCCAUCAUCAAGAUCACGUUUUACAAGACAUCUUUUUUGGAUCAAUAAACAUGUACACAGUUCUAUGAGGUAACUAAAGCCCAUGUAUCGUCAUAUGAUGUGUUGAUCCCAGAAUGAUUAGUUUUGCUAAGCAUACCUAAUGUUGCCAUUAGAGUGUCCAAAACUGAAAUGCAUAGUGCUAAUGGAAAUAGUACAGUACAGAUUAAACUCAAACUCAGAAGAGAAUGAGUGCGUUUCCUUGAGAGGAAAAACCUAGACAUGCCCAUGCAAAUGUGAUGGUGUCGAGCUAUUUUUCUUUAAAACAAACAUCAAUUGGUGAGAUUUGCCAUGUUCCUUCAAUGGAUCUUCCAAGAAUGCAAGUGUGGCAACUUUAUUAUGUUUGUUAUUGAUCCUACUAAUCAGUGGAGUUACUUUUUAGAAAGAAGAUUAAAAGAAAGAGGAGCUACAAAUCUGUAACAAAAACACUUAAGUGUCAACUGAACCAAAACUUGCAAAAUCAUCUUGCGCUUCUCGGUUGUUGUAUCCAUGAACAAGGUCAGUAGGAGCUAAAACAAGACGAACCAAAAUAGAAACAGGAUUGGGACCCUCAACAGUUAAACUAAUACACUGAGAGGUCCUAAUCCUGUUUGUAAGAAUUCUGAGAGACAAAGAUAAGAGAUAUAGGGCCAACAAAAAAUAGGAGCAUGUCCAACUAAUACAUUUUCCAAACUUGCAUGCAACGUACUCCCUCCGUUCCUAAAUGUAAGUCUUUUUAGACAUUUCAAAUAGACUAUAAGAUACGGAUGUAUGUAGACAUAUUUUAGAGUGCAUAUUCGCUCAUUUUGCUCCGUAUAUAGUCACUUGUUGGAGUAUCUUAAAAGACUUACAUUUGGGAACGGAGGGAGUAGAUUGCAUCGCUUGUUUACAUCAACGUAAAAUUGGAGCAUGUACAGUUUUAUUCUUGUGCUGAGUGUGCAUCAACAAAUCAAAACUAGAAAUAAAUAGGUGCUUAACCAUUCAUCAUUCUCCUUAAGCACAUUGUAAAAAUGUGAGAAGCAAACCUGAGAAAGGUUAGUGUACUGAAGGCGUAUGCAGUGCUUUCACAGAGGUGACAAAGAGCUACAAAAUGUACGAUGAAUUGUAAAAGGAAAACAAAAUUCUGCACUUGUCAUUUUCGCUAGUUGCUACUGUGUCUCACUAGUCUUCAGGUCUGCACCUACAGAAAGUUCUGAAGCGUCACUAGUGUUCAGUUCUGAAGCAGAUUCAGAAUGAUGGGAUACCAUCCUAAAUACAGUAGCAGCAUCCCAAAUCCAUUCCAAGUGAAAAUGGCCGGAACUGGUUCUAUUUUUUUUUAGCAGUGGAGCUCUAAAGAAGAGAUAAGGAAUAACAGUUCAUCUAAAACAGAGAAGAUAGACAAGAAACAGGGCUAUCACGUUUGGCUGGAUCUAAGAAGAUACUCUGGUGUUGUUCCUCCUCCGCAGCUUCUCCUCCUGCGUGAUCCCCACCUCCUUGAUUUGAUCCCACUGACGAGCUAAGGUUUUCUCCAUCACCCCCUUCAGUAUGCAAGCUCAUCUCUUCUCUUUCAUCUCCUUAAUUUCUUGGUCUUUUUACCCUUUCUUUACCCUGCUCCUCAAAAAUCCAGAACCCUAACCCUAAAAAUUAAGAAAUUCAUGGAGAAAAGGGAAUGGAAGAGGAAGAGGGUGGUGUUACCAACGAGAAGACCGCUGACGAUGGAGAGGGACGCCGGAAAAGAUCGUUGCCGCCGCCAAGCUCGCACCAAAUCGAUGCACAGCCCAGUUCGCCUCCUGGUCGCUACCGCAUGAAGAGGGAAAGGGGGGAUAAUCCACGCAGGAGAGAGAGGGGUAGCCCUUGCUUCAAGAUUGUCCCUCCGGCGCCAUCGACAUGGCUGCCGCCGCCUCCGCAAACCGCAAUCGCCAGCGAGGAGGGGCGGAGAGAGGAACGUGAACCGCUCGCACCUGAUUAGAAAAGACAUGGGUACGGGUGGAGACGUAGCGUGGGCUAGCUCCAAAGGACCAGUCAACCGUCGCAUCAACGUAAGCAAGGUAAAUUUACGGCGGUAGACGUGGAAUAAUAUUUUUAUCGGUUGAGGAGUCGUUAAGCCACACUGUUGCUCGGUCGGAUGACUGGGUUGAAGAAUUACUUCUUAUUCUUCAUCCUGGGUCCUUAAUAGACUUUCUAUAUAUACAUAUAUAUACACAUAUAUAUAUACAAGCCCUCCCCAGCCAGCCAAAGCAUAUCAUGCCACCAAACCCAAGCCACCCAAUGCACAUCACGCCAAGGAGAUUAUCAAAUUCUGCAGGAGCCGAAGUAAAUUGGAA
rnacentral:lncRNA from 1 species